UGGGGAAUAUUGCACAAUGGGCGCAAGCCUGAUGCAGCCAUGCCGUGUGUGUGAAGAAGGCCUUCGGGUUGUAAAGCACUUUCAGCGGGGAGGAAGGCGGUGAGGUUAAUAACCUCAUCGAUUGACGUUACCCGCAGAAGAAGCACCGGCUAACUCCGCGCCAGCAGCCGCGGUAAUACGGAGGGUGCAAGCGUUCAUCGGAAUUACUGGGCGUAAAGCGCACGCAGGCGGUCUGUCAAGUCGGAUGUGAAAUCCCCGGGCUCAACCUGAGAACUGCAUUCGAAACUGGCAGGGUAGAGUCUUGUAGAGGGAGGUAGAAUUCCAAGUGUAGCGGUGAAAUGCGUAGAGGUCUGGAAGAAUACCGGUGGCGAAGGCGGCCCCCUGGACAAAGACUGACGCUCAGGUGCGAAAGCGUGGGGAGCAAACAGG
rnacentral:rRNA from 1 species